AGAUGGUGGUGCUUUGCAGGGAAGGAAAAUAAAAUGCAAGAUACUAACUCUCAUGGAAGAGAAACAAUUCACUUUUAAUUAACCACGCUUAGAGGGUCUGUUGACAGAAUAUCAGAAGAGAUCAGAGACGAGAACUUCUCCCUCUUGCCACCUGUCCUGUCUUUCAAAAUCAAAUGAACCUCUGUGAGGAGUUGAAAGCAGUAACGGAUGUGGAGUCAAAACCGACCAAUGCAGCGACCAAGGAACCAGCCAAAAAUGUGAAGUCGUAACUGUAAUUAGAGACAAGUUUUUUGCCAAGCUAAGUCUAAUCAUAUGUAAUAUGUACAUAUGCGCCUGCCUGGGUAGCAUUUUUGGAAUCUGGCUAAUGUACCCAAUUUUAGAACUUGUAAAAUAAUGUAUAGUUGUAUAUGCAAUUUUCAAAUCUGACUAAAGUAACAGAUUUUGGAUCAUGUAAAACAAUGUCUAAUGUAUGUGUAUAACACAUUUAUAUAAUGUGCCUAAUGUUUGUAAAUUCAAGACUGUCGAAUUGAAUAAUGUCAAUAAUAUACCCGCAACAUCGCGCGGGUAGUGUUGC